rnacentral:rRNA from 1 species
CAAUAGCGUAUAUUUAAGUUGUUGCAGUUAAAAAGCUCGUAGUUGGAUUUCGGAUGGGAUUUGCCGGUCCGUCGUUACGAUGUGCACUGGCCAGUCCUAUCUUGUUGUCGGGGACUAGCUCCUGGGCUUCACUGUCCGGGACUAGGAGCUGACGAGGUUACUUUGAGUAAAUUAGAGUGUUCAAAGCAAGCCUACGCUCUGAAUACAUUAGCAUGGAAUAACACGAUAGGACUCUGGCUUAUCUUGUUGGUCUGUGAGACCAGAGUAAUGAUUAAGAGGGACAGUCGGGGGCAUUCGUAUUUCAUUGUCAGAGGUGAAAUUCUUGGAUUUAUGAAAGACGAACUUCUGCGAAAGCAUUUGUCAAGGAUGUUUUCAUUA